AGGGCUAUAAGUAGGCCGUUUGCUAUUGCUAUAAGGGCUGCUCGCCUUUUGACGGCUUGGCUUCGCUAUCGCUCAAUUGUAGUGGUCGGCCUUAAAAGGAGUCUUCCUACCAUACCAUCAUGCCUAUGUUAUAGUGCGUUAAGCUUCGCCAGAAGCAAGCAAGAUGAGGAAGCGAAGCUUCGUAGACAAGGCUCGUUCCGUGCUUGACUUACGAGCUCGUGUAGUAAGGCCUCGCCCUACUUCAAUAAGGGCUUAUGCACUCCACUCGUAAACGAGCGUUAGAGCGAAGCCUUCCUGGAGCUUCCCCCUUCCCGAACCCUACAAUUUCAUUUCCGCUGAAGCUUCCCCGGUUUGGAGGAUGAAUUGAUUGGAUACCCGAGAACCAUAAUCUUUCAAAGGAACAGCUUCUACGACGAUAGAUAGGGGUCAGGUUUGGCAUCUAUGCCCCCUGCCCUCCAAACAGUAUGAGAGCCUUUCAGCUCGUACUGCUCACACUCCUAGAUCUUCACGGCGGCACCUCCGCCACCAUUGUGUGAGCUGGGAGCAGCUCCGAAAAUCCCGGCCUACUCAAAAAUGAGCUUGAAAGUCAACGUCAACAACAAACAACAAGACGAAAAAGUACACGUUGGUUGCCUGAUCAUAGGUGAAAGAAAUCCAAUCCCUUCGCCUCUCGGAAGGGGAGCUGCAAGCGUAGGCUUCGACAGUGCGUUUUGGGGCGCGUCUACUUAGUAGCUUUGGCGCGCAAUUUCUUAUUGUUUUGAAGCGCAAAAAAGCAAGUCAAAAAAGGUUAGCCUUCUUUUGAAGCUUCAAAACUCAAGGGCUAAGGCACUCCAGCUUUGAUGCUGGAGUUUGCUGGCUUUGAAGUGAAGCUGCGAGCUCCGCGUCGAAAAGCGAAGCGAGCCGCGCUAGCGCGCUACUCUUCCGUUUAUCUCACCUUUAUCAGAUGUCCACCCCGAACCGAAGGGGCGGAGGGUUCCCCUUCUCCGCUCCUUUCCUGAGCCUUUCACACUAAGCUCUUCGAUUCUGCCCUGCGCCUCUCUGGGCAAAGCUCUCGCUCAUGACUGGUAGUUGUCUCUAUGUAGUGGUCGGCCUUCGUUAAGCUUCGCCAGAAGCGAGGUCUCGAGUCUACGAAGCGAAGUACUUGACCUUCGCCUCGCCAUGCCACCUCAUCUAUAAUGACCGGGAAGAGGGGGGAGGCUCUUGCGGAAGCCCUGCCCGCCCUUCUCUAUUUUGAGGGAUCCCUCAUAUUGAUGAUUCCAGGCUUCCCGGACUUGUAACAGACGGCUAGGAACAAGAAGAGGAUAAGUAGUCUCUGCCGUAGCAGAUCCUUCUCCUUCCGCUGAGACGGCCCUCUUUUUUUUUUUGUUCGUUCACCGCGGCACGAAAGAAUGAAGAAGCUGGAAUAACUCAGAAAGAGAGUGAGUGGCGCCUAGCCGUUGAGAGCGUCUCUUGUCCUUGAAGAAUAACUGUACGAUCUUGGACUGGCCCCCUUCGCAUGACCUAAAAUGAAAAAGAGGUCCGUGCUACUAUAAGGCCUCUAAACUCCUCCCUCAGGACACUGUUGCCUUGCCAUGGGGACGGGGUAGCCCCGACUUCUAUAGGUCCUUGGUUCGACCUCCUAAUGAGAAUUGAGGUCCUUGCGCGGGCGUCUCAUCCAAAUGACUUGCUUGCUCUGUAUGGAGUGUCCCGUGGUUCCUCGAGUGCCAGCCACAGAUAGGAAUGCCAUCAACUAGGGCGCUAUUUGCCACUAACCACUCGCUCGCCGGCCGCUCGGGCUCCGCGUUUCAAGUUCGUUAUCCUAACCCUCUCCCCUGCUCUACCGGGAGCCUGGCCCCUUCUUCUAUCUUAUCUACUGCCUUGCUCCUCGGCUCCCUACUGCUCCAGCCGCUCGCUGUAAUAGCUUGCUUCUCGGGUGGCUCGCACCCCGACCCCGGGUGGUGCGGCUGAGCCAGAGUGGGCUCAGCAGUCGGCCUAUGUAUCCGGGCGCACGCGUAAAGGCAUGAUUAGUUCCACGAAUCUCACUGCACUGACCAUAGUAAACUCCUUCUCGUUGUACCGAAAUGGAGGUCUGAUUUGAACGACCAGGUACAGCAUCACAUUUGACACCUGAGGAAGGUACAGCCCAACUAUGAGGUACAUCAGCAGGUGUUACAAUCAUACGUAGAUGAGUUUUGGCUGGUACAACCACUCUAUUGUCAACUUCUAAUAAACGUGAUUGACCCAAUUCUGGAUCAUCUUCUGGAAUCGUAUAACUGUCAAAAGUGAGUGACUGUUCAUCUCCACUGUUAUAGUCCGAAUACUCAUAAGGUUGGGUCGACGCCCUCC
rnacentral:lncRNA from 1 species